UGCCCUGUGGUCUAAUGGUAAGACGGCUGACUCUGGAUCAGCUUAUUGAGGUUCGAAUCCUUACAGGGCAGCCA
rnacentral:tRNA from 1 species